rnacentral:rRNA from 1 species
AAAUGAUUGAAGUCAGUCGUACCAUGAGUAAUCAGCCUUUUGUGUGCAAUUAUAUGGGUGCCGAGGAGCUUAACUGCCUUCACGCCUGUAUAUUUGUUCGCUUUGGGUGUAUUUGCUUGCAUGUAGGUUAACAUCAAUUUUGGUCAUCAUAAAACAACGAGAGGAAUGUAGCUUUGAUCUCAUAUUGAAGUGUUAUAGCCUCUGGUAGAUGUGAUGAUUGGGAUUGAGGAUUGCAACGAACCCUUAGUGGUUACUUGCCUGGCCUCUGAUGGUCGCUCUGGUGCCGAAAGCUUGCUUACGGUUAUCGAAGUUGGUCGUCAAAAGGUUAGAACGAGCUAAAUUCGUUAAGGAUGUUGACAUAAUGGCUUUAAACGA